rnacentral:rRNA from 1 species
GAUUUCUGGCUUGAAACAUUUUGCCGGCCACGGUUUCGUGUGUUAGUGCUUGAUGUUCUGGCCAUCCUUCCAAUCGCUGCUUUACUUUUCUUCAUUGAUUAGUAGAUGUAGUAUUGGAUCUUUUACUUUGAAAAAAUUAGAGUGUUUCAAGCAGGCUUUAUGCUAUGAAUACAUUAGCAUGGAAUAAUAAUUUAGGACUUCGGUUCUAUUUUGUUGGUUUCUAGGACUGAAGUAAUGAUUGAUAGGGACAGUUGGGGGUGCUAGUAUUCAGCGGCCAGAGGUGAAAUUCUCGGAUUCGCUGAAGACUAACUUAUGCGAAAGCAUU